AGCGAACGCUGGCGGCAGGCCUAACACAUGCAAGUCGAACGGAUCCUUCGGGAUUAGUGGCGGACGGGUGAGUAACACGUGGGAACGUGCCCUUUGGUUCGGAACAACUCAGGGAAACUUGAGCUAAUACCGGAUGUGCCCUUCGGGGGAAAGAUUUAUCGCCAUUGGAGCGGCCCGCGUCUGAUUAGCUAGUUGGUGAGGUAAAGGCUCACCAAGGCGACGAUCAGUAGCUGGUCUGAGAGGAUGAUCAGCAACAUUGGGACUGAGACACGGCCCAAUCACGUCUGGGAGGCAGCUGUAGGGAAUCUGUCGCAAUGGCCGAAAGCCUGCCGCAGCCAUGCCGCGUGAAUGAUGAAGGUCCUAGGAUUGUAAAACUCUUUCACCGGGGACGUUAAUGACGGUACCCGGAGAAGAAGCCCCGGCUAACUUCGUGCCAGCCGCCGCGGUAACAC
rnacentral:rRNA from 1 species